UGAGAAAAAGGGGUUUUACUGCAACACGUUGCCAAAAGUCGGUUUAAAUAUUGAUUCAAUGUUGCAUUGCGGAUAUAGUACUAUGGAACACUAUGUCACUAAGUCCCCCUCUUGGCGGCUGACUCUCCCCAUGAGCUCCAUGCUGCCCCACUUAACAGGGCCUGCUGCUGGGAGAUGCUCCCGUUGGCUAAGGUGAGGCCACGGUCAGACCCCCCGUGGCUCAGGCCCCCACCAGGCCAACUUUAGACAAGUGGUUGUAAACACGUCCGCCGUGUUUAGCCUUAGAGAUCGCAGGGGCCAGGGCGCACCUAUGUAAAAGAAAAUGGCUAUUGGCAAUGGUCUGAAUAACAUCGCUGGCAAGCUGGCGUGUUUUUUGGAGAGAUGAGAGUGGGAGGCUAUUACUGCAUGAUGAAGACGUUUGGAGAUAUGAUUGACUCCCUGUCGUCCCUCGGGAACUUCAUAUCUAAUAUGAGUUGGGUUGUGUUAGGGAGUCCCUGUGGCAUCACAUUUCCUGGAUUAUCCCCACUUUGGUUCCUGAAUGCUCCCCUUACGUGUGAUUUAUUUUAUUUUGGAAGAGCGGAGAAUGUGGUGGAGUCGCUAUCCAAACACUACCUUAUCUUUUGGCAGUGUGAGACGUGGUUUCCUUUGCAUGUGUCAAAGAGGACCCGUGUUGACAUGGUCAAAGCACCUCCUGAAUGCUACAUAGUUAGAAUACUGCUACUACAACCUCCAUGCGUCUGUCUUCACGGUCUGGCUACUCCGGUGAUCACCUAGGGGCUUUGAUGGGUGGAUGUUUGUGUGUGUUCGCUGUCGCUCAAACCUCCAGGUUGGCUUUAGAGGCCUGGUGUGUGUGUGUGUGUGUGUGUGUGUGUGUGUGUCUUUGACCAACAGCAAUCCGUUAGGGUCCGAUGUUGUUGCUAGCCGUCCGUGGGUUUACCGUGCACUGGUUUCCAAACAUAGUUCAGAACAGUAGGAGUUGUGUAUUAUACAAACAAAACCUCUUGAAAUGACCGGGAGAAACAUAAUUUAUGCCUCACUAGGCCGCGUAUUGACUGUGCAUGCCAAGGUUUAGUAGCAUAUAACGCAAGUGAAUUAGUGCUCUGGAAGCCAUCUCUGCUCUGAUUAGCAGCUGUGGGAGCUGGCGCUGGCUGGCGGUGGUGUGUGUGCUGUGUGAAGGUGACUGUGCAGUAGGACCAUCACCGCUCUGACAGCCAGUGGAUAAUGUGAUCACAGCCCACAGCCAGCCAGGGCCGACUGAGAUGAGGAGCCUUAAUCUCCCCCGGUGUAAGGCUGCCAAAUAUGCCCGAUCUGCCACGCAGAGGAACAUCACCCUGGUCUCAGAGAACGUUCAAAGGGCCUGCUUGCUUUUGAUGUCUGACUUGUGUGUGUGUCCGUGUGUGUGUGUGUGUGUGUGUGUGUGUUUAUAUUUUUAUAUAUAUAGGUAUUUUUUUAUAUAUUUUCCUAUGUACUCCUUGGGUUGGUUCCAGAAUGCAGCAUCUUGUCAAUUUAAUUGACUUUUGUUGGCUAAGUGAUUGCUCGGUAAGAGACAUUAAAGGAGUCGCAGCAUUAUCAACAACAGCAGCACAUUCAGGGCCCGGCCAGCUGAGGACUGGACUUGAUUCAGAGGAUUUCUAUUUAUUGGAAGCAUCGUUUACUUUUUUUUUUUUUA
ensembl:lncRNA